rnacentral:rRNA from 1 species
AACUCCUACGGGAGGCAGCAGUGAGGAAUAUUGGUCAAUGGGCGAGAGCCUGAACCAGCCAAGUAGCGUGCAGGAUGACGGCCCUAUGGGUUGUAAACUGCUUUUAUGCGGGAAUAACGUUCACUACGUGUAGUGUUUUGCAUGUACCGCAUGAAUAAGGAUCGGCUAACUCCGUGCCAGCAGCCGCGGUAAUACGGAGGAUCCGAGCGUUAUCCGGAUUUAUUGGGUUUAAAGGGAGCGUAGGCGGAGGAUCAAGUCAGCUGUGAAAUGUAGACGCUCAACGUGUGCACUGCAGUUGAAACUGGUUCCCUUGAGUGCGUAAGAGGCAGGCGGAAUUCGUCGUGUAGCGGUGAAAUGCUUAGAUAUGACGAAGAACUCCGAUCGCGAAGGCAGCUUGCCGGGCCGCAACUGACGCUGAAGCUCGAAGGUGCGGGUAUCGAACAGGAUUAGAUACCCUGGUAGUCCGCACAGUAAACGAUGGAUACUCGCUGUCGGCGAUAUACGGUCGGUGGCCAAGCGAAAGCGUUAAGUAUCCCACCUGGGGAGUACGCCGGCAACGGUGAAACUCAAAGGAAUUGACGGGGGCCCGCACAAGCGGAGGAACAUGUGGUUUAAUUCGAUGAUACGCGAGGAACCUUACCCGGGCUUGAAUUGCUAACGACGGUUACUGGAGACAGUUUCCUUCCUUCGGGACGUUAGUGAAGGUGCUGCAUGGUUGUCGUCAGCUCGUGCCGUAAGGUGUCGGCUCAAGUGCCAUAACGAGCGCAACCCUUGCCGUUAGUUGCCAUCAGGUCAUGCUGGGCACUCUAUCGGGACUGCCAUCGUAAGAUGUGAGGAAGGUGGGGAUGACGUCAAAUCAGCACGGCCCUUAUGUCCGGGGCUACACACGUGUUACAAUGGGGGGUACAGAGGGAAGCCACCUGGCGACAGGGCGCGGAUCCCGAAAUCCCUUCUCAGUUCGGAUCGGAGUCUGGAACCCGACUCCGUGAAGCUGGAUUCGCUAGUAAUCGCGCAUCAGCCAUGGCGCGGUGAAUACGUUCCCGGGCCUUGUACACACCGCCCGUCAAGCCAUGAAAGCCGGGGGCGCCUGAAGUCCGUAACCGCGAGGAUCGGCCUAGGGCGAACCUGGUAAUUGGGGCUAAGUCGUAACAAGGUAGCCGUACCGGAAGGUGCGGCUGGAACAACUCCUUU